rnacentral:rRNA from 1 species
ACGGGUGAGUAACACGUGGGAACGUACCCUUUACUACGGAAUAACGCAUGGAAACGUGUGCUAAUACCGUAUGUGCCCUUCGGGGGAAAGAUUUAUCGGUAAAGGAUCGGCCCGCGUUGGAUUAGCUAGUUGGUGGGGUAAAGGCCUACCAAGGCGACGAUCCAUAGCUGGUCUGAGAGGAUGAUCAGCCACAUUGGGACUGAGACACGGCCCAAACUCCUACGGGAGGCAGCAGUGGGGAAUAUUGGACAAUGGGCGCAAGCCUGAUCCAGCCAUGCCGCGUGAGUGAUGAAGGCCCUAGGGUUGUAAAGCUCUUUCACCGGAGAAGAUAAUGACGGUAUCCGGAGAAGAAGCCCCGGCUAACUUCGUGCCAGCAGCCGCGGUAAUACGAAGGGGGCUAGCGUUGUUCGGAUUUACUGGGCGUAAAGCGCACGUAGGCGGAUCGAUCAGUCAGGGGUGAAAUCCCAGAGCUCAACUCUGGAACUGCCUUUGAUACUGUCGAUCUGGAGUAUGGAAGAGGUGAGUGGAAUUCCGAGUGUAGAGGUGAAAUUCGUAGA